rnacentral:lncRNA from 1 species
UCUUGAUAAGGAUUCACUUAUACAGAGACAAGGAUAUAAAGAGAUUAAGUGGUAAUAAAAGUUAGUUUUAUCUUUCUUGAUCUGCUUAAACUAUCAAAGUCAAUUUAGUUCAUAAUUCAAGGAUGUGUUACGAUUCUUUAUUUUAUGAAAUCAUGUUUGGGUCGAAUGGUCUAAUUCUAGGAGAAUUAUGCAAUUUCGAAAGGAAAAGAAAUAGACUUCUAAUCAAAUGCUUCCAACUCCAAAUGCUCAGGAUUUUUUAGGCAAUGGUGUAUUCAUUAACGGAUUAAAGAUACUGAUCCUCAAUGAUUCUUGAAUGCACAUAUAUCUUUGGAUAAGUAACUAAUACGCGACUUUAGCAAAUUGCUCAAGUGCACAUAUAUCUUUAGUAAUUUACUUUUUCUACACAAUUAGAUACCCCUUAGCAGUUGUUACUCUCUUUGAAACCCAUAAAAUUGAAUUUUCUUUGAAAAGGAAAAAGUCGUCCAUAUGAUUCAGGCAUACGUUUUAUACUUCUUGCACAAACUAAUCCAUGUUUCAGGCAUACGUUUUAUACUUCUUACACAAAGUAAUCCAUGUUUAAGCAUUUAAACUAAUGUGUUUUUAUUUGCUAUAUAUUAACCGAAGAAAACUAAUCUCAAUUUAAAGUCCAAAAUCUUAAGGAUUCUGAAUCUGACUUGGCAGCACGCUAGCAGCUAAAUCCACAAACAACACAGAAAACUAACUUAAGUAACUUG